rnacentral:rRNA from 1 species
GUCAGGGGACUACGAGCAAAGCUUUAAACCCAAAGGACUUGACGGUGCCCCACAUCCCCCUAGAGGAGCCUGUCCUAUAAUCGAUAAUCCCCGUUCAACCUCACCGCAUCUAGCUUAUCAGCCUGUAUACUUCCGUCGUCAGUUUACCACGUGAGCGAAAAUUAGUUAGCCUAAUGUCCACACAUCAAUGUGCUUACAUCGUCAAUACGUCAGGUCAAAGUGCAGCAAAUGACGCGGGAAGAGAUGGGCUACACUUUUUAAUAUAAAAGAAACGAAAGACAAAAUGAAACUUUGUCAGAAAGGCGGAUUUAGCAGUAAAAAAAAAUAUUAUAUUCCUUUUAACUUGGUACUGGGGUGCGU